CCCCCCAAAAGUGAUAUUUAUAUGUGAUAUAUUUUCGCUAAUUAUGUGAUAUAUCUGUAGUUUUUAACAACUUCUUCACCUACUCUUAUGACGGAUUAGGUCUUGACCAAAGCAUGAAAGUUGUAGCCCUAUUUCUUAGCUUUAUAAUACCACUAGGAUCAGGUCAGUUUGAAUUCUAUAAGCCAAUGUUAUGUAUAUAUUAGUGAAACCAACACACAACAUAUGUUUUUAUCAUGAGCAAUAACAAAAUGUAAGCAUCAUAGGAUGAAUGUCAAUAUCAUGACAUAAAAAAAUCGAUGUGGAGGCAUUGCCCUUUUUUCUUUCAAAAAACUUCUCGAAGCAUGUUAAACCAUUUCCAAUGAAUGUCUUUGAAAUACCCAAAUAUUGGUUAUAGGUGAAACUUAAGGGGGCUAUAAAAAAUUUAUGCAAGUAUGGGGGUUAAGUGGAAAUUUUUCCUUUGAUUUAAUAAUAAAGUCAUUAGACUUGUCUUCUUCAACAAGAAGAAAAGCAGAGAGAAAAGAGAGAAAGAAAGGGGGAGAAGGGAAGAAAGAAAAGAAAAGAAAAAAGAAGAAAAGAAAGAAAGAGAGAGAAAAGGGAAGGAAGAGGAAAGGAAUUUACAGGAAAAGGGAAUAAGGUGAAAAAGAAGGAAAAAUAGCAAGAGAUUUUAACACCGGCUUAGAGACAACUCAAAUCAAUGAGUACGACAUAAUUUAGUGCUCUACUUGUGCUUUAUUUCAUGUCAAAUAUGACAGAUUUGAGUGUUCUGCCCGUGAGAGAUUAUACCGGGUAACAUAUAAAGCGAUGGGUUGCAAGUUGAGGUUAGGUGAAGUCAUGCGAGAACUAGAGAUUUUGGUAUAGUUAAAAGCUUACAUUCAUGUUGAUACUACUAUUUCAAAAUAUUUAUUUGUAACUCAUACAUAUAUGACUAAGUAUCCAUAUUUUGACUAGGUAUUCGUAUUUAAAACUCAUACAUAUAUGACUAAGUUAUAAUGAGAUUUUUCCUCUAUAAAUGAAGUCUAAAUUUGUGUAUGGACACAAAUUGAGAACAAGUUAAUCAAAGUUUUUUAUGUGA